rnacentral:rRNA from 1 species
UGCCAGCCGCCGCGGUAAUACGGAGGGGGUUAGCGUUGUUCGGAAUUACUGGGCGUAAAGCGCACGUAGGCGGAUCAGAAAGUAAGGGGUGAAAUCCCAGGGCUCAACCCUGGAACUGCCUCUUAAACUCCUGGUCUAGAGUUCGAGAGAGGUGAGUGGAAUUCCGAGUGUAGAGGUGAAAUUCGUAGAUAUUAGGAGGAACACCAGAGGCGAAGGCGGCUUUCUGGUCCGUUACUGACGCUGAGGCGCGAAAGCGUGGGGAGCAAACAGGAUUAGAUA